UAGCCGGACGGAAGCAUUGACACCCGUAAAGCUGAUUCGAACUGAGUGACAGCAAAAAAGUUCGGCGUUUCGCAGCGUUCCGGUGCGCAAAAUGGCUUCCAAAGUAAUAAACCUGUAGCGAAGCACUGAUCGAUCCAUCCUCUCAGCUUCAGUUCUGUGCUACAUCUCAGACUGAAUCUAAUCUCUAUUGUGACAACCUUAGAGACUGCUGUAUGUGAACUAGUUAAAUCGCACAUUUAAUUCGAAUCAAGGAACGGAAUGCAUUGAACAUAGAAGAAAGGACAUGAAAGCAAAAUAAUUUCUUUUUCCCAAGAAACUACAUGUGGAAGGUUGAUGGUUAAGAUUAUUCUUCUCAAAUUGUAUCUUUCAGUCUUCAGUGAUGUUGCUGAAUGCGAAUGCUUUGAAAGCAAAAUGCACUUUGGCUUGCCUGUAUUCACUCGUAGAUUUUCCCGCUAAGGAAAGUUUCAGAUGGUGUGAUCUCGAUCUUAUCAAAGGUGAUACUUUCUGUUGAUCUUUUUUUCCUUCAUCCAGAAUUAGGUACGACUCCUAGAUCUGGUGAAUACCAAGGCAGCAAGGCAAUAUGAAUGAAAUGAUCCAAAAGAAAAACCAUGCGAAGGAGUUCAUCCAGAUAGACAAAAUUGUUGAAUAUGCUCUAAAUUGAGAGGGUAGUUUCCAUUAUGUCUAUGAAUAUUUAGAAAUAAGUUCUCUUUUUGUCUUAACUAGUUAUUUCAUUUGGUUCCUUAUUACAUUGUCUAUAUGAAAAUACGAACACCCUUUCAUGCUGAAGCCUAAAAGUUUCCAGAGCAAGUCCUUUUAUUCUUUUCCUCUCUUUCUUUUCCCUAUUUUCCAGAAAUAAAUAUGUCAACAGUUUAAACAGUGUAGUGACGAGGAAUCUUGCUUGUUACUAUUUGCUCGUUUGGAAUCAGAGUCUCGUUUGUGAAUUUUGAAGUUCUUUUCAGUUUAGGAACUCAAAUUGUUUGUUUGGUUAUUGAUAAUUAAAGAUUGCUGAUAUUCUCUAAGUUGGAAUUGUAAUCUGUGAUUUUACAGCUCUAACAUGUAAACACUUAUCAUGUAAUAAAUAUUCUUCAGAAAAUAAUUCGUCAGCGAAGAGAGGUUUAGAUAAAGCAAUUUUGAAACUUACUGAGACCAAAUUAGUUGAAAAAACCUUAAUGAAAACUUAGAAAUAUUCUAUUUCUGUGUAUGUUUACAUCGUGACGGUAAUGUAUAGGUAACCUUGUCUUGUCUUUAUGAUAAGUUUCACUGUAUCUUUGUCAAAUAUGUUUUAUGUUGAAAGUCAGUCUUAGCUAGAGAUAGUUGCUCAUCAUUGUCAAUUUGUCAUUCUGGCACUAGUUACACUGGCAUUUCCCUAUAUCCAUAUUUAGACAUUUGAUGUCAAGGCAAAUCAUAGUUUAGCAACAUCUGCACCUCUUAACUCCUGCUGUUUCUGUUCACGGUAUUUGUAUUCUG